rnacentral:rRNA from 1 species
GACGAACGCUGGCGGCGUGCUUAACACAUGCAAGUCGAACGGAAAGGCCUCUUUCGGGGGGUACUCGCGUGGCGAACGGGUGAGUAAAACGUGAGUAACCUGCCCUUGACUUUGGGAUAACUUCAGUAAACUGGGGCUAAUACCGGAUAGGAGCUCCUGCUGCAUGGUGGGGGUUGGAAAGUUUCGGCGGGUGGGGAUGGACUCGCGGCUUAUCAGCUUGUUGGUGGGGUAGUGGCUUACCAAGGCUUUGACGGGUAGCCGGCCUGGGAGGGUGACCGGCCACAUUGGGACUGAGAUACGGCCCAGACUCCUACGGGAGGCAGCAGGGGGGAAUAUUGCACAAUGGGUGGAAGCCUGAUGCAGCAACGCCGUGUGCGGGAUGACGGCCUUCGGGUUGUAAACCGCUUUCGCUCAUGACGAAGCUUUGUGUGACGGUAGUGGGUAAAGAAGCACCGGCUAACUACGUG